rnacentral:piRNA from 1 species
UGGCAAAAGCAGGUUUUAGCGAGUGC